AUUCGACACGUGGAUUCCUAUCAGCUAUCUUCUAUUUUUUUGUUCGCUGCUAUUUCAAUUUUUUUUGUUCCCUGCUAUUUCAAUUUUUUCAUCUACAUUCUAAUGGCAGUUACAAUCUUCAACUUUUUCCCAUUCCACACUUCCACUACCAGCGGUUACAACCAUCCUUCAUGGUUAACAUUCGAUUUUUUCCCUUUACAUUCUCAUGGUAGUUACAAUCUUCAAUUUUUUCCCAUUUCACACUUCCACUACCAGCGGUUACAGUCGUCCUUCAUGGUUAAUUGUACGUUUCAUCUCUCGAAAAUGCUUGGAAAUCGAAGACCCUAUGACCAUCAAGAAGGUUUUAGAAGAUCGAAGAUAUAA